rnacentral:rRNA from 1 species
GAUGAACGCUGGCGGCGUGCCUAAUACAUGCAAGUCGAGCGAACAGACGAGGAGCUUGUUCCUCUGACGUUAGCGGCGAACGGGUGAGUAACACGUGGAUAACCUACCUUUAAGCGGGGGACAACUUUGGGAAACGGAUGCUAAUACCGCAUAAAAACUUUAACCACAAGUUUUAAGAUUGAAAGAUGCUUUUGCAUCACUUAAAGAUGGUACCGCGUCGUAUUGGCUAGUUGGUAAGGUAAAGGCUUACCAAGGCAAUGAUUCAUAACCGACCUGGAGGGGGGACCGGCCACACUGGAACUGAAACAGGGCCCAACCUCCUACGGAGGGCGGCGGAAGGGAAUCUUCCGAAUUGGGCAAAGGCCUGACGGGGAAACGCGGGGUAAGGGAGAAGGGUUUUCGGAUCGUAAAACUCUGUUAUUAGGGAGAAACAAAUGGGUAAGUGACUAUGCACGUCUUGACGGUACCUAAUCAGAAAGCCACGGCUAACUACGUG